AAUUUUAAUUUAUUAACCUGGGUAAUUAAAUUUCCAGUUGAAAGAGUUGAUAGAGUCGCAGCAUUUUUAGAGAAAUAUCAGUGUUUCCCUAAUGUUCUAUUAAUUGUUGGCGACAUUGCUCAUGUAUUAAAAUCUUCUGUCAUAGUUGACUCAGCAAGAAUAAAGACAUUGAUACACCUUUGCAUUAUGGAAUACACAAGUUGGCAGUUCCUCGCCCACUGCCACCCAAAUACAGGAAAGUAUGCAUGCAUACACAAUCCUCAAAAUUAGUAAAACUAAAAUACUUAAGUUAAACACUUAAUAAAGUACUUGCUGCAAUUACUUUCAAAAGACUAAAACUGGACAUAUUGUUUUAGAAAAAGCUACUUAAAAAGUCCUUAUCUGUACGUAACAGACGACAUACAAAAAGGCUUUCAGAUCAUUUAAAAAUCACUUAAAGGGAAAACCAUCGGUACUAUGGAGACGAAGUGUGGCAAAAGAUUAUUUUAUGAAGUUUUUCAUUUUCUGAAUUCGUGAUGGAACCUUUUGGAAUACACUUGUCAUGGACAUGGGAGGAGUAUUGCCGCUACAAGCUUGAACAAUGAUAAAACAUU
rnacentral:lncRNA from 1 species